GACGAACGCGGGCGGCGUGCCUAAUACAUGCAAGUAGAACGCUGAAGGAGGAGCUUGCUUCUCCGGAUGAGUUGCGAACGGGUGAGUAACGCGUAGGUAACCUGCCUGGUAGCGGGGGAUAACUAUUGGAAACGAUAGCUAAUACCGCAUAACAGUAGAUAUUGCAUGAUAUCUGCUUGAAAGGUGCAAAUGCAUCACUACCAGAUGGACCUGCGUUGUAUUAGCUAGUUGGUGGGGUAACGGCUCACCAAGGCGACGAUACAUAGCCGACCUGAGAGGGUGAUCGGCCACACUGGGACUGAGACACGGCCCAGACUCCUACGGGAGGCAGCAGUAGGGAAUCUUCGGCAAUGGACGGAAGUCUGACCGAGCAACGCCGCGUGAGUGAAGAAGGUUUUCGGAUCGUAAAGCUCUGUUGUAAGAGAAGAACGAGUGUGAGAGUGGAAAGUUCACACUGUGACGGUAUCUACCAGAAAGGGA
rnacentral:rRNA from 1 species